CUUGAGUUCCGGGAGGCCAGGACCGGUCCUGCCUGCCACGAUCUGUGCCCCCAAAGGGGCUCCCAGCCCAAUGUCAGAAGCUGCCUUGCAAUUCUGAGCCAUUUUUCAACUUGUGUGCUUUAAGUGAGUUCUGGGGACUGAACUCAAGCAUUCUAGUCAUGUGCUGUACCAUGGACCUAUGGCCCACCUCUGUGUUAUAUUUUUAAGUGAAGAAGCCUUGUGCAGUUUGGGAAAGCAAUACAACAUAGUGGUUUAGUGCAUGCAGCCAGACUGAUGGAUGGAAUCUACUCAUUUUAAGACAUCGGAAAGGUUGUUGGACUUUGAUUAAGUACCUUGAUAUGUGAAUGAAGGUAGGGGCAAAGGAAUGAGAAAGUUUGAUACACUCAGGCUGGCUGAAGGUAAGAGUUGGGGGAAGGGGGAUUUAGAGGGAGCGGCGCAACUGUCCCACACCCUGGUAUGGCUGAGCACUGGUUUGCCCUUGCUCCCAUGUGGAUGGAUAGCCAAUGUCAGUGGUUCCUCUAAAGAAUGUAUCCUUCUAAUAUCAUAGAGGUUCGGAGGAAAGGAGUCAUGGGAGCAAGGGACCCCAAAAUGAAAAUCUUAUUCUCAGGCAUUAGAGGGCCGUCCUUCUGUCCAUGCACAGACAGAAUUUAGCAACUGCCACACGGUGGCAGCAACAUCUCUGGCUGUUUAGCCUGGUGGGUGAUGGCUCAGUUUCUUCUCCUUUUCUUCCCUUCAUCCCUUCAGAACAAGUCCUUCUUUGGGAACUGAGGGGCACCAGAGUAUGUAUUUCAAUGAAUUUUCUUAUUGUUUCUCUUUACCUAAGUUAUAAAGUCUUGGAAACAUCAUCUCAGGUACUUUUAUCACCUUUUCUUAAAAGCUCAUAUUUUAAAUCUAACUCAUUAGAUCUGUGAAGCUGGUGGUUGUGCCACAGGGUUGUGGGGACAAGGGAGGUGACCAGAUGUUCUAAUUGAGUCUGCCAGUCUUGCUUCUGGCAGUGGUCAGGUGCCCUGGAAGAAGUCCCAGGCAGGCUCCACUGUGCCCCUUAUCUGAACCGAGCUUAUGAACUGGCCUACUUCCAGAGGAGAAUGGCCAGAGAAGAGAGGGAUCUGGAAACCAGAAGUGACAGGGAUACUCGGAAGGGAAGGGAACAUUUGCAGAGGAGAAAUGAUGUGACAGCUUCAUUUAAAUAUUGAAGGGCUGCUGUCACUGAGAGGAGUUUAGAAUCCGUUUGCUUGAAUAUUAGCUUUGGAAGGGAUCUUAAAAAUCCCAUAAAACACUCUUCAUUUUAUAGGAAGAAAAAAAAAGGCCAAGAAAGUGACACUUGUUCAUUGUUACAGGAUUAGCUGGUAGCUGACAGAGCUGAGUCCACAACACAGGUCUUUUGGCUACACCCAGAUACGUUCACCAUUCAGGCUGUGAGCUAUAAGGAUGGGUGAGGUGAGGAAGGAGGGUGGCAGCCUCUAGUGAGGGUUGAAGCAGCAGUUGCAUGUACAGGGAAUUUCUGAAUCACACUGAGGGCCAGCCACAGCCUAGCCACUAGAAAACCCAUU